rnacentral:rRNA from 1 species
AUUGAACGCUGGCGGUAUGCUUAACACAUGCAAGUCGAACGGUAACAGGCCUUCGGGCGCUGACGAGUGGCGGACGGGUGAGUAACGCGUAGGAAUCUGCCUUAUAGUGGGGGACAACGUGGGGAAACCCACGCUAAUACCGCAUACGCCCUACGGGGGAAAGCGGGGGAUCUUCGGACCUCGCGCUAUGAGAUGAGCCUGCGUUAGAUUAGCUAGUUGGUAGGGUAAAGGCCUACCAAGGCGACGAUCUAUAGCUGGUCUGAGAGGACGAUCAGCCACACUGGGACUAAGACACGGCCCAGACUCCUACGGGAGGCAGCAGUGGGGAAUAUUGGACAAUGGGCGCAAGCCUGAUCCAGCAAUACCGCGUGUGUGAAGAAGGCCUUAGGGUUGUAAAGCACUUUCAAUUGGGAGGAAACCCUGCCGGUUAAUACCCGGCAGCUUGACAUUACCUUUAGAAGAAGCACCGGCUAACUCCGUGCCAGCCGCCGCAGUAAAAC